UGGGCCUUGCAGCCAGCUCGGGGUCCAAGGGGCACUCCUGCGGUGCUGCAAAGGAGGAUUUGUGACAACCCAGAGGAUGGAGGAAACGGCGGCUUUGAAAAGGUUUGUGAGCAGCCCCCGGUCCCCUGCCGCUCCGUGAGAAAUCAAACUUCAGGCACUGACGAAGCAUGAAGCCAGCAUCUUAGGAAGAGGUAGUGACAUAAUUACAAGAGAAAUUAAUGUUAUGACUGGAUGAAGACAAUUGUGAAGAAACUGCACUUUGAGGUUGUCUAUCUCUGUAUUCUGAUGGAAAAGCGUGGAGUUUAGAAGCACUGCUCACUCCUUCAGUUUCUAACAAGUUUGAGACUAUGGUUAGGUGGUGAGGAAGGCAGGCUCAGCACCCAAGCCUUGGGGAGACGCAGAAAGGGCCCAUCCCAGGCACUCAGGUGGAGGUGGUCUGUCCUAGAGAACGUUCCAUGUGGAUUUGAGAAGAAUAUAUAUUCUCAUGUUGGAUGCAGUGCUGUGCAUAUGUUUGUUAGGUUUAGUUGUUUUAUGUUGUUGUUCAUGUUUUCUAUUUUUUAUCUUCUGUCUACUUGUUCUAUCCAUUAAUAUAAGUGAAGCAUUAAAGUCUCCAACUAUUACUGUUGAA
rnacentral:lncRNA from 1 species